CACGGAGGACUGAUGGAACUGAGCCUGAAGAGUGAGGCUCAGGUGACAGCAGCCUCCUAAAAGAAAAGGGAUGGAGAGAGCAGUCCUGCUUACAGAAAAGCAAAGGGCUGACUGUGCCAUCUGACACUC
ensembl:scaRNA